AUCCUGGCUCAGAUUGAACGCUGGCGGCAGGCUUAACACAUGCAAGUCGAGCGGUAGCAGGCCUUCGGGUGCUGACGAGCGGCGAACGGGUGAGUAACGCGUAGGAAUCUGCCUGAUAGAGGGGGAUAGCCCGGGGAAACUCGGAUUAAUACCGCAUACGCCCUACGGGGGAAAGCAGGGGGAUCUUCGGACCUUGCGCUAUCAGAUGAGCCUGCGUCGGAUUAGCUAGUUGGUAGGGUAAAGGCCUACCAAGGCGACGAUCCGUAACUGGUCUGAGAGGAUGAUCAGUCACACUGGAACUGAGACACGGUCCAGACUCCUACGGGAGGCAGCAGUGGGGAAUAUUGGACAAUGGGGGAAACCCUGAUCCAGCCAUGCCGCGUGUGUGAAGAAGGCCUUCGGGUUGUAAAGCACUUUAAGCAGGGAGGAAAGAGUGAUGGCUAAUAUCCAUUAUUUUUGACGCUACCUGCAGAAUAAGCACCGGCUAACUUCGUG
rnacentral:rRNA from 1 species